rnacentral:rRNA from 1 species
UACGGAGGGUGCAAGCGUUAAUCGGAAUUACUGGGCGUAAAGGGUGCGUAGGCGGUUGGUUAAGUCUGUCGUGAAAUCCCCGGGCUCAACCUGGGAAUUGCAAUGGAUACUGGCAGGCUGGAGUAUGGUAGAGGAAGGUGGAAUUCCCGGUGUAGCAGUGAAAUGCGUAGAGAUCGGGAGGAACACCAGUGGCGAAGGCGGCCUUCUGGACCAAUACUGACGCUCAUGCACGAAAGCGUGGGGAGCAAACAGG